rnacentral:tRNA from 2 species
AGUCUUAUAGUCAAAAAUGAUUUUAAAUUGCAAAUUUAAAGGUAAAUUAAUUUUAAGGCUU